UACAGAGGUCUCAAGCGUUGUUCGGAUUCAUUGGGCGUAAAGGGUGUGUAGGUGGCGCGCUAAGUCGGGUGUGAAAUUUCGGAGCUUAACUCCGAAACUGCAUUCGAUACUGGCGGUCUCGAGUCCGGGAGAGGUGAGUGGAACUGCGAGUGUAGAGGUGAAAUUCGUAGAUAUUCGCAAGAACACCAGUGGCGAAGGCGGCUCACUGGCCCGGUACUGACGCUGAGGUGGCGAAAGCGUGGGGAGCAACAGG
rnacentral:rRNA from 1 species